rnacentral:tRNA from 1 species
UAUAUAUUAAUGUAAUGAUGCAUAUUAAUUUUUGAAGUUAAAGGAAAUAGUUUAAUUCUAUUAAAUAUAA